rnacentral:lncRNA from 1 species
CAGGCUUAAGUAGCAGUUGAUAUUCUUUGAAUUGCCUUUGAUUUGUGUAGCUUUUGCUUAUUUGGUGGAAUAUUUAAUCUGAGGUAAUUCCCUUCCUUAAGGGAUAAAAAGAGCAGGGAGAAAGGAGAUGACAUGCCUGGUUUGGGGGAAGCAAUUUUAGAGAAAGAAAAGCCUGAGGAGGAUUAUAUGAAAUUUUUCAAGGUAAAUAUUCUUCUAUAUCAUGAAUUCUUCAAUAAAAACUCUCUGUGCUAAUAUUAUGAGUGAGGUAUGUCAGUGGAAUGGGCACGGUCAAAGUGAGAGCAGAGGCUGCUUCAUGGGAGGCCACCAUACAUGCGCAAAGAGCUACAGUCCACAAUGAGCAAGGUCACUCCUGUUUUCUCUGUGUCCUUACUAAGACUCCCAUCCUUACUGACGUGUUGCUUUUAAGAUAUUAGUAAACUUGGGGGAAGAAUCAUUUCGAAACCUAGUUUAAGUCUCCUUUUUCUCAUCUGUGAAAUGGGGGUAGUAAAAACACCUGACUCCUAAGAUCAGUGUGCAUAUUAAUGUAGAUAAGCUCUUUAGCAUGGUGCCUUACACAAAGCACUCAGUGUCUGUUAGAUAUUUUUCUAUUAUCACUGAUUUUUUAAAGAUGAAAUUUGCCUCAGUAGAAAAGUGAAGUCAGCAAAUCUGGAUGACUUCUUUGCAGUUUAAUAAAGCACCUGACUCAAAUCAGUGCACACAUGCCAGUUAUUAUGAAAUUACAUAAAAGAUUGGGAAUUUUCCUUAAAAAGGGAGAAUCCUAGGCUAAGGCCUCAUGUAUGUUCAUGUAUAUAUGAAUGAUAUGGAAAAUUACAUAAAUAAAAGAGAAUAAAAGAGAAAGAUUAAUACCAAAGUCAAUUUGCAGACCUCUUGAAAAUAAAGGGGAUAUAUAUUUAUAAAGAAUAAAUCCUUUCAGUUUACUUCAUCCAAGCUACUGAAACACUGACUAGAUUCACACUUGAGUUAAAAAGAGAUCUAUCUGCAUCAUGAUUCUAGAAAAUCUUUAAAAAUUUUCCAGCCUAAUCAUCAAUUCCAGAUUUUUUACGCUCUUUUUCUAGACUAGGUAUAGCUAACACCUUUAGCAUUUUUCAUUUCAUUUAAUAUCCACAAUCUCUCCAUGUUCAUAGAUAUUAUUAGCUCUACUUUGAAGAUUAGAAAACAAAGUGAAAAUAUCCUUUUGUUAGUAUAUAUAUUUUAAAUAUUUUCUUCUCUACCAGGUCCAUCUAAACAGGAUUUUGAACCAAUAUAAAUCUUUCUCAUUUUCCAUCAAAACAAAAUAAAAUUUUAAAGUACUAGAAUUUUAACGUGUAUAUCUCUCUUUAGCUACUCUCCUAUUUCUCACGCUUUUCAUUAAAAAGACAAUAAAGUUGGAUUUUCUCUAAAUGAAACAAUAAGAGGAGGUACUAGAGCUUAUGAAAAAUUUCAAAGUAGAUAGCCAAAGGUGCAUUACCUGACUUUUGAACCCCUAACAAAUUAAGAAUAUAAACUUAUCCAGGGUUAGAAAAAGUAAUAUUUUUUGAGACAAAUAUUUGAAACUUUUGGAGUGCUAUGAGUCUAUCUUCCCUUUCUAUUCUGCCCAGUGGAAUGAGAGGUGCAACUUUUAAACUCUACAUCUUUAAGAGGGGCUUCAAGGGGACCACUUAAGGAAUCUAAUACAUAUGUAGAUGGAUAUGUAUAUGUAUAGGUAAAUUAUGUACAUUACAUAUAUAUUAUAUAUAUGAAUGAUUCAUACUUAUGCAUGCAUAUGUAAUAUAAAUUUGUGUUUUUGUACAUAUACUUGUGUAUUCUCUGCAGAUGGAGGAAAUUGAAGGAUUGUGCUUGAUUCACACCUGAGAAAGUGGGAUCUGCUGGUGGUGAUAUCCAGCAGUAAGAGGCUCUGAAUUGUAUUAUUGGAGACUAUAGUGGAGAAUUUGGAAUAAGCAGCCAAAAGAGAGGCACUGCCUGGGUCAAUGGAGUUGUUGUCAGAGAGUUCACCCAAGAGUCUCUACACAGUGCCCAGAGAAGGAGUCAGCGCUAAAUAUAAUAUAGAGCCAUGCAGAGUGUAGCAGUACCAGCUAGGUCUUGCUCUCAAGGCGUUAGGGAACAACAAAAACAACAAAAACCCAAUGUCAAGUGGAAAGAAAAGAAAUCAACCACCUCUGUCUUGGCCUAGGUUCCCUAAAGAAGAAAACCCUCUUGAAAGCUUAUACACUAAGGCUGUAUGGGAAAGUGCAAUCUCAGUAUAGCAAGAUCAAGGGAAAAGGGAAGUGAUGCAGACAGGGAAAGAGGGAAUAAUUUUACCAGGUGGCACUUCACUGAGCUUCUUAGAACUUCCCCAGAACACAGAGCUGGUUGUUUGUUGCUAGAGCACUUCUUCCAGAUAGGCUCUGUUGCACUACUGUGACUUAGAAUAUUCCCCCAAUGGAAGUAAUGGAGUGGUAUUCACUUGCCACCUUUUUCCUCUUUCUUGUCACUGUUUGGUUCACAUUCAAUUCCUGAGGCAUUAACUUCCCUACUUUUGACCUUUGAUCCAGGUCAUGUGACUGGGAAAGCCAGAUCUUGUGCCUUGUACUGUAUGGCUUCCUUAUGAAUGGGAAAUGGGAGGAGAGUCAGAGUCCUCACAGGUCCAGUUAGAUGAGAUUAAGUGCAGAGCCACUGCAAGUGCAUCAGGGUGGACAUGAAGAGGCUGCAAAAGCACACACAGUGUCAGGAGAUGAGGAACAGUGAAGGUUGCUGAAGCUGCCCUUGCUUAAGUAGCUGAGGUUUAGAAGGCAGGUGGCGCAAGGUUAGAUGCCCACCUGAAAUUCCCCUUCUCGUGGAGGGAUGAGGAAUUUUAUCUUUGAAUAAUAUUGAAACUUUAUUAUAUUGUCUAGACAAUUUUACAUAUUGCAGUGAGAUUGAAAUGGUGACUUGAAGUACUUAGGAGAAUUUUACUAACUGGAAAAAGAGUUAUGGAAUCUGCCUAGUUUUCAUUCAGGGGCAUAGUAGGAUUAUCCUCACACAAGACAUUUCAAGGGAUAAUAAGAUGAAUUUCAUAAAUGAAUCUUGAUAUUUCUGCAUGUUCAAUCGUUGAUUAUGCUCCAAGCUCUUAAAAUGCACUUUACACCAGUGUCUCUACUCUUUCAUUUCCCAUUAUUUCUUCAUGAAUCAUUAUCCUUUAGCUUAAAUCAUUUCACAUGGGCUGCUCUGACUGGUAUUACCACUGAUGUUACAAUUGUUCAAGCUGAUAGACUCUUAUAAGUCUCAAUAUCACUUGUUUUCUCUGUAGCGUGUGUCUGUGCUCACCACUAUUUAUUUUUUUAAUACUCCCCAUCUCAGAUUUGAAGAUACCAAACGUCCUGGUUCACUUUCCACCUACUAGAUCAGUCUUUUGAAUUUCCUUCUUGUUUUUCUAUGCCCACUUCCUCUUCUAUACCCAACUUUAAAAAACUCUGAUGACCCCUGGGGUUUUCUCCUCAGUCUGUGCUUUCUUGAUUCUAUGUCUUUCCCCAGGAUGAGUUUUCUCUUCUCUGCCAACCCUCAGAAAUUAUGAACUCAAGUCUCAGAGAGCUCCUUACCUAUAGGACAUCUCCAUCUCAAAUUCAACAUGUCCCAAAGCUGAACUCUUCAUCUUUUACUUCCAAACUGGCUACUUUUUCUGGCAUUUACCAUCUUGAUUUACAGUACCAUUAUUCACCACAUCCUGCCCUCUGCCAAAGUCAGUAACCUGGGAGCGAUCCCAGACUCUUCAUGGACCAUCAUUCCCACAUCAAAGCAGUCACCAAGCCCUGGAGAUAAAACCUUUGGAAGAACUCAUGAGUCUAUCUGUUCCAUGUCAUCCUCACUGCUGCUAUUGACUUAGGUCUUCACUGGGACUGACCUGGAUGUUACCUUAACUUCCUAUAGUAUCUUCCUGAAUCCAUUUCUAUUAUUUUAAAUUUCAGAUCCAUACUAUUAUAAGAGUUGGCUUUAUAAUUUUUUUCCUAAAAAUAAAAUUUUAAAAACUAUUCCAACCUUCUUUGGUCUAUAAAAGGCAAGUAUUUUAGCAGUUCAGCAAAGCCCUCAUGAUCUGACCAUGGUCAAUCUAGUAGUUUUGGAAUAAAAGUGAUAUGAUAAACACAGAGCAUGUGCCUUACCAUCAGCUGGUUCUGAGUUCUCAUCCUGGCUCUGCCACUCCCUGAUGAUGGGCAAAGUAAUAACCUCUCUGAACUUUGGUUUUUUCAUGGGUAAAAUAUCGGUCAGUAUAUAUAACCACUAAGUGGAAGCUUGUAUGUGAUGUAUCCAGCACAUAGACAAUGUUCAAUACAUUUUCCUUUCUUCAUUCCCUCAUUUUAUUCCCUUUACUGUAUGUGAGCAUGCAUGAAAUACCUUGAAUCUAUUUUUUUUUGUUCCUCCAAAAAUUUUAUAUGUCAUAUAAUAUUCUAAGAGCAACUCCAUCUUUUCUGUUGGAAAGUUACUUCUCACUCUAGAAGAUGAGGCUGCAUGAUCGCUUCUGUAAAGCACCCCCUAACACCCAAGGCAAAGGCAAACACUCCAUUUUCUUUUUUAAGUCUCUUUCCAUAUUUUGUCCAAUUGCUAAGUCAGCUCUUGUGUCAUUGUGCCAUAAUAAUGAGGCCCUUGGUCAUGGAGGGUACACAGUCAGUCACAUAAUGCUCUUCUUAAACGCUGGCCUGAUACCAAUGCAAAUAAAGAAAAAUGGAUAAAAGGACCUCUGAAUGAUCUUCUGAUGAUUGUGCAAUCAUGCACUGGCCAUUCUUUUGCAUGAUUGUUUUAUCAUAAAAAAAUACGUGUGGGAAUCUGUAUAGAAUUUACUGAAAAUUAUUAAGUUUUAUAAAACAAGACCUAUUGAGGAAAGGCUAAUUGUACUGAUAUUGCUUAGUCUAAAGAGGAGAUAGAAAUAAUUGAAUAAUAACUCUCAGUUAUGAUGUAUUUAACAUAGAGGAGACAACUGGGCAUUUUCUGGCACCAGUGAGCACUAGUUUAAAAUGCCAUAGGAAAUGUAGAUUCAGUAAUAGAAAAAUUUCUUGAGGGUGAAAGAUACUAAAUAAUGAAAUAUUUCUUCAAGUGGCUGUGACAAUUCCUCAACAUCAUCUUUCCAAAUUUCUUUAACAGUGAUCCUCUUGAAUGCCAGAGAAUAGACUAUUUGGCUCAUCAAGGUACUCUCCUACCCACAGGAUCCCAUGAAUGCCAUCAAAUAAAAGACUUUACUCUCGCAAUGUAACAAAUACAUUUUAAAGCUAUUGAAUCUUUUUAUUGAAGCAGUACUGCACCGGGGAGCAGGUCACAGAGGUAGCAUAACCCAGAUAAUUUACUACAUAUUUGCAUAUAAUUAUUUGCUUUGUGAUUAAUUUUGUGGUCAUUGCCCAAACAUCCUCUUCAAAGUACCAUCAAAAUGCUGAACGGGCAAAAGCUUUUAGUCUCGUAGGACAUAUUUCCAGAAUAAGUUACAACAGACAUGAAAGUAGACAGUUUUGCCUGUCUUCCAUGGGCCUACGAGUAGUUACUAGGUGAUUGAGGAGUGAUUGAAAGGCAGAAGGGGUUCCAGACAGAAAUGUCAUGUCAUGAGCCAGUAUUGUGAGGAAGCUGGCUACCAGCCAGAUGGAGACUAAGCUGGGCUUUACUACUGCUCUUACUUCCAGUGAACUGAGACACAUACCUCCUAAUGUUUUCUCUUUCCUUCCUUCCUACUGAUGAUAUGACUCAAGUAUGAAGACUGACCAACUUCUCACUUCCACAUAUUCUGAUCUGAUUCCUAGCCCAUCUCUUGAUCUAAUAUAGGUUUUGCCCAGACUAGGCUUAGUCCCAAUCUGCUUAUGGCAGCAUGGAUCUGCUCCUAACAUUCUGGACCAGGAUCAAAAUGAGUAACCCUGCAGAGAAACUCCAGGACUGCUUUUUGUAGCUGUAUAGCAUCUGCCUACAACUAUAGAAACAUUGUUAGAAAAGGUCAGUGUUCCUAAUAGGGGCAGUAUCACUUUAGCAGGUUAGAUUUGUGUGGGGAACUUUUGCACCACUCUGAUUAUCUGGUGAGUGUAGCCAGGGAUGGAAAUGUCCUGUAACUUUGGACCAUCAGCACUACAAAAGAUUUUUUUCACCCCCAAAGCAACAAGUGACAAGCAGUUAGACUAGAACUGCUCCAUAUUGAAUAGCCAGAAAGCACUUAUAGUACCUUCUCUUUGCUAAAGGAUUCUUUUUAAAGAAAAGAUUUUUUCUAUAAAAACCAUUAUUAUAAAGGGGCAAUUAUUCAUUAGGAACUUGAGGUUGUAAUUAGGGAUC